rnacentral:rRNA from 1 species
AGGUGCUAAAUACCGGAUAAGAAAGCAGAUCGCAUGAUCAGCUUUAAAAGGCGGCGUAAAGCUGUCGCUAUGGGGAUGGGCCCCGCGGUGCAUUAGCUAGUUGGUAAGGUAAAGGCUCACCAAGGGCGAUGAUGCAUAGCCCGAGUUGAGAGACUGAUCGGCCACAUUGGGGACUGAGACACGGCCCAAACUCCUACGGGAGGCAGCAGUAGGGAAUCUUCCACAAUGGACGCAAGUCUGAUGGAGCAAACGCCGCGUGAGUGAAGAAGGUUUUCGGAUCGUAAAGCUCUGUUGUUGGUGAAGAAGGAUAGAGGUAGUAACUGGCCCUUUAUUUGACGGUAAUCAACCAGAAGGUCACGGGCUAACUACGUGCCAGCAGCCGCGGUAAAU